rnacentral:rRNA from 1 species
AGUGAACGCUGGCGGUAGGCCUAACACAUGCAAGUCGAACGGCAGCACAGUAAGAGCUUGCUCUUACGGGUGGCGAGUGGCGGACGGGUGAGGAGUACAUCGGAAUCUACUUUUUCGUGGGGGAUAACGUAGGGAAACUUACGCUAAUACCGCAUACGACCUACGGGUGAAAGCAGGGGAUCUUCGGACCUUGCGCGAUUGAAUGAGUCGAUGUCGGAUUAGCUAGUUGGCGGGGUAAAGGCCCACCAAGGCGACGAUCCGUAGCUGGUCUGAGAGGAUGAUCAGCCACACUGGAACUGAGACACGGUCCAGACUCCUACGGGAGGCAGCAGUGGGGAAUAUUGGACAAUGGGCGCAAGCCUGAUCCAGCCAUACCGCGUGGGUGAAGAAGGCCUUCGGGUUGUAAAGCCCUUUUGUUGGGAAAGAAAAGCAGCAGGUUAAUACCCCGCUGUUCUGACGGUACCCAAAGAAUAAGCACCGGCUAACUUCGUG